rnacentral:tRNA from 1 species
UCCCUGGUGGCUCAGAGGGUAAAGCGUCUGCCUGCAAUGCGGGAGACCCAGGUUUGAUCCCUGGGUUGAGAA